UUAACUGGAGAGACCCAAAGCCGGGUACCUAAUGGUAUCCGGCUUAUUUUUUAAGAGGGCGCCGAAGGUGUAAGAUGCGGAUGAUGUCUGUAUCGAUCUCUCAGGCAAAAGGACAGGAGAC
rnacentral:ncRNA from 1 species